GACGAACGCUGGCGGCGUGCUUAACACAUGCAAGUCGAGCGGUAAGGCCCUUUCGGGGGUACGACGAGCGGCGAACGGGUGAGUAACACGUGGGUGACCUGCCCUCAGCUCUGGGAUAAGCCUGGGAAACUGGGUCUAAUACUGGAUAUGACUCCACGGUGCAUGUCGUGGGGUGGAAAGCCUUGUGCGGCUGAGGAUGGGCCCGCGGCCUAUCAGCUUGUUGGUGGGGUGANGGCCUACCAAGGCGACGACGGGUAGCCGGCCUGAGAGGGCGACCGGCCACACUGGGACUGAGACACGG
rnacentral:rRNA from 1 species